AAGUGGGUGUUCAGAGAGUCUCGCUCCUGGAACGCAGGUGAGUGGAGUCCCCGAAGAUCCGCACAAAAUAGCCCAGCCAGUUCCAGCAAUUAUGAAAAAGUCCAGGCUCUCAGACCGCUGACCCUGAUAAGUAGAAGUCCUUGGUGCCACCUGGUAUUCCAGUGGCUCAGUCCAUGUGCAUCAUCACGAGUAGGAUCCAGCUUGCUGCUGAAAAGGCCUCUGUCCCGUUUGUGGAUAAGACAGUGCAGCCCAACCAUGGGACAGCUUUAGGAGGCAAAAGCUGAAGAUGGAUUUUUUGUACCU
rnacentral:lncRNA from 1 species